rnacentral:rRNA from 1 species
UAAAAGGUUUUAGAAACAUGCUUCUAAGACUGCCUAAGGAUGAGACUGUGUCCGAUCAGGUUGUUGGUGGGGUAACGGCCUACCAAGCCUAUAACCGGUACGGGCCCUGAGAGGGGGAGCCCGGAGAUGGGAACUGAGACAAGGUCCCAGGCCCUACGGGGCGCAGCAGGCGCGAAACCUCCACAAUACACGAAAGUGUGAUGGGGUUAUCCCGAGUGCCGUCCGAUAAGGAUGGCUUUUACCUGUUGUAAAGCGUCAGGAGAAUAAAGGGGGGGCAAGACUGGUGUCAGCCGCCGCGGUAAUACCAGCCCCCUGAGUGGUAGGGACGAUUAUUUGGCCUAAAGUGUUCGUAGCCGGUUUAACAAGUCUUUUGUUAAAUCCAACGGCUUAACCGUUGGGCCGCGAAAGAUACUAUUAAACUAGAGGACGGGAGAAGUCGACGGUAUUUCCGGGGUAGGGGUGAAAUCCUAUAAUCCCGGGAGGACCACCAGUGGCGAAGGCGGUCGACUAGAACGUGCCUGACGGUGAUGGACGAAAGCUAGGGGAGCGAACCGGAUUAGAUACCCGGGUAGUCCUAGCUGUAAACGAUGCGGGCUAGGUGUUGGAGUAGCUAUGCGCUAUUUCAGUGCCGCAGAGAAGUCGUUAAGCCCGCC